UCUGACCCUACCAUUCUGAAAUCACCUGGUCUCAGAAGCUAAGUAGGGUUGGGUUUGGCUGGCACUUGGAUGGGAAAAAAAGAGCCAGGAUCCUCCAGGGAGAUCUUGGAACCCAGGU
rnacentral:rRNA from 1 species